AUUGAACGCUGGCGGCAGGCCUAACACAUGCGAGUCGAGCGGAUGAAGGGAGCUUGCUCCUGGAUUCAGCGGCGGACGGGUGAGUAAUGCCUAGGAAUCUGCCUGGUAGUGGGGGAUAACGUCCGGAAACGGGCGCUAAUACCGCAUACGUCCUGAGGGAGAGAGUGGGGGAUCUUCGGACCUCACGCUAUCAGAUGAGCCUAGGUCGGAUUAGCUAGUUGGUGGGGUAAAGGCCUACCAAGGCGACGAUCCGUAACUGGUCUGAGAGGAUGAUCAGUCACACUGGAACUGAGACACGGUCCAGACUCCUACGGGAGGCAGCAGUGGGGAAUAUUGGACAAUGGGCGAAAGCCUGAUCCAGCCAUGCCGCGUGUGUGAAGAAGGUCUUCGGAUUGUAAAGCACUUUAAGUUGGGAGGAAGGGCAGUAAGUUAAUACCUUGCUGUUUUGACGUUACCAACAGAAUAAGCACCGGCUAACUUCGUG
rnacentral:rRNA from 1 species